rnacentral:rRNA from 1 species
GACGAACGCUGGCGGCGUGCUUAACACAUGCAAGUCGAACGGAAAGGCCCUGCUUUUGUGGGGUGCUCGAGUGGCGAACGGGUGAGUAACACGUGAGUAACCUGCCCUUGACUUUGGGAUAACUUCAGGAAACUGGGGCUAAUACCGGCUAGGAGCUCCUGCUGCAUGGUGGGGGUUGGAAAGUUUCGGCGGUUGGGGAUGGACUCGCGGCUUAUCAGUUUGUUGGUGGGGUAGUGGCUUAGCAAGGCUUCGACGGGUAGCCGGCCUGGGAGGCUGACCGGGCACAUUGGGACUGAGAUACGGCCCAGACUCCUACGGGAGGCAACAGUGGGGAAUAUUGCACAAUGGGCGGAAGCCUGAUGCAGCAACGCCGCGUGCGGGAUGACGGCCUUCGGGUUGUAAACCGCUUUCGCCUGUGACGAAGCGUGGGUGACGGUAAUGGGUGAAGAAGCACCGGCUAACUACGUG